GAUGAACGCUGGCGGCGUGCCUAAUACAUGCAAGUCGAGCGAACGGACGAGAAGCUUGCUUCUCUGAUGUUAGCGGCGGACGGGUGAGUAACACGUGGAUAACCUACCUAUAAGACUGGGAUAACUUCGGGAAACCGGAGCUAAUACCGGAUGAUAUUUUGAACCGCAUGGUUCAAAAGUGAAAGACGGUCUUGCUGUCACUUAUAUAUGGAUCCGCGCUGCAUUAGCUAGUUGUUAAGGUAACGGCUUACCAAGGCAACGAUGCAUAGCCGACCUGAGAGGGUGAUCGGCCACACUGGAACUGAGACACGGUCCAGACUCCUACGGGAGGCAGCAGUAGGGAAUCUUCCGCAAUGGGCGAAAGCCUGACGGAGCAACGCCGCGUGAGUGAUGAAGGUCUUCGGAUCGUAAAACUCUGUUAUUAGGGAAGAACAUAUGUGUAAGUAACUGUGCACAUCUUGACGGUACCUAAUCAGAAAGCCACGGCUAACUACGUG
rnacentral:rRNA from 1 species